GUACAGCCUGCUGCCACACCGGCUGGCUAGGUUGCUCUUUAUAUAAUGUUCUGUCAUGGGUCCCACCAGGAUGGAUACAUUUGUGGAGUCAGUGAAAUUUGUGGUGUCAUCUCUUUUCAGAAAUAAAGUGUAAUCAGAUUUCUUGCCCUAUAUAUUUGUGAAGGUUAUGCACCUCCUUGAUUUAGAGAAUCUUCUUCCAUCUACAAAUUCAGUGUGACAUAAUUCCUGUUGUUUCAUUGGGUGGACCAUUUGAUAUUGGAUAAUCCAUUGGUGUGCUCUUCCCGGGAGAAGACUAUUUCUAAGGCUCUCAGUAUUCCUUCAUUGCAAAAAGCUUCACAGAAACCUAAUUUCUACGUGUGGGAAACAUCCAGUGUUACCCUUUAGACAAUGAAAAAUUAGGCAGAAAUAUGUUUGAAGGCAUGGUUACAAUGAGUCCACAAGGCCCAAGAAGAUGAAGCCUCUGCCCUUCCGAUGCUCUCAGCACAAUCCCAGAGAGUAAGCCAGCCCUUCUCUUUCUUAUAAUGUCUAAACACCUGAAGCCAGGCCCACAGGAUGUGGCCACCACUGCAAGGCAAGAGGCUACUACAGUAAGUUCAUCCUUCGUGACAGUGAUUCAAUGGGAUCCUCGUGACUACUUCAUCUCCUGAUCUUCUCUACAGCUAGUUAUUCGUUUCUCUUUCAGAAUGAAGUCAGUAGAAACGAAAGAUUGGAAGAAUAUUAGAUUAUUUUCGAUAGUCUGUCAUGGAAAAGUCAGAAGCUUAAUUAAAUAGAUGUUUGCUUGCCAUUGAUUUGUUUGAAAAUAUUCCAUGAUGAUCAAAGAAUGAUGCUCCACCUACGUUUUCAUGGUAUUUUAACUAAUUAGCCUUCAUCCAGUCGCUGAUGGAAGCAGAAAUAGACACCCACAGCAAGACCCUGACCUGAACUCCUGGCAUCCAGUUGGAGAGAUAUUCUCAAAUGAAAAGCAGUUUCAUAGACCACCACUUUAAUUGUUUCAGGACAGUAAUGCAAUCAACUCAGCCACUUCCUAAUUUGAACUGAAUAAAAGAUGUUCAAGAAGAUGAAUCCUAAAAGACAGAAUAUGUUAUCUCUUCAAGUAACUAAAAUUCAGAUCACAUUUAUUACUGAAUUUGGGAGACUAAGCAGCAUUCUAAUUUCAAUUCACUAAAAAUAAUACUUCUCAAGUAUGUUGAGAAUAAAGAGGAUUUUUAUCAUAACAACUAAUUUACCAGUGAUUUUUCAGUUUCUACUUUAUUGAUUUCAGCCCUCGAUUUGAUUAUUUCCUGUCAUCUACUCCUCCAGGCUCAAGAAGAAGCUCACAAAUGACUUGAUACCUCGCAGGUAACAAUUAUUUCCUUAGGUUUGUCCUGAGAUUGGCUUUAGAUCAUCACAUGUGUUGGAAAGCAACUUUACCUGCUGAGAUAUCUUUCCAAGUCUGGGAAUCUUCAAUUGCUUUAAUAUUUUUGUUUUGUUUUGAGACAGAGUUUGUGUGGCCUUCACUGUCUUAUAUCUAGCUCUGUAGACAAGGCUGGACUUGAAUUCACACAGAUGUACCUGCCUCUCCUCCCUAGUGUGAGGAUUAAAGGUGUUCACUACCA